ensembl:lncRNA
CAAUUUAAUACUUUGGGCCUUUUUAAAAAAAAAAAAAAAUCAAAAGACUAGGACCUUCCUUGGCCCCCUGAAGUUUUAGGUUUUCAGAUGCUCCGAGAUUCAAUCUGUGCAUUUUCUUGGCAUCUGUUUUUUCCAGGCAGUAUAUUACCACUAUAAAGUAGCCUGAACAGUGGGGUCUUCCCAACUGGGGGCCCACUUCAAAGGCAAUGUUUGAAGUCCCCUGAUGCUGACUGUGGCUGAAAGGGCUUAUUGUUAUGUUUAGUUUAUUAAUUACUUUAAACAGAAAAAAUAAAAGAUAAUUAUCUUCUAAAUAAAGUUCUCAGCCUGUCUUCCUUCUUUAACAUUUUCCAAUCUUCGGUCUUUUUUUUUUUUUCCAGUCAUACACCAGUAACUUUAGUUCUAAAUACUGGUGUGAUAUAAUUAUGUAACGCCUUUUAAGCUGGAGAUAUGUAGCUGUCUUGCAAAGGCACAUUGCUGUUUUCUCCUAUAUUUAGAAAACAAAAAUUUAGAAAGUAAGGGCAAGCAAUCCAUUCAACCAGCAUUAUACCAUGAGGUGUGGAUGGAGAGAGCAAGAGAAUCCAGAUUUCUUAUUCAAUUUCAUCAGGAAAUUGAAGGAAUAUUCUUCCCAGAACACUGGCAACUCUGGAAUCCCCCUGAAAUCUGAAGAGUGUCCUGCUUUCUCACAAACCAAACAUCCCACCCAGUUUUACUUGCAAUUAGCUAUUUCACCCCAACCACAGCUUGCUUUUUUUCCCCAAUUUUCCUCAAAACUAAAGCAAGUCAGAGUCCCGUGGUGUGAAGCAAAACAAAAACACCCCCUAAGUUCAUGUGUUGUCACCAGACAAAAAUUUGCUAAGAACAAGCAGAAAUGAGGAGUUAAUGGAUUCCAUAUGUGGUCACUAACCUAGCUUUAUGAGAUUUUCCAAGAGAUUUCUGAAGAAAUUCCUGGAGCACAAAACAAGAUCAAACACCCACUUUUCCUGUCAAACAGGACAAGGAAUGUUCAAUCCAUAGUUACCCCUGCAUUUACCUCAGUAAACAUGGGAAGAAACUUUGGCGGCAGUGUCUGCUUUGCAAGGAGCCGAGGGCCUUGUGUGGUACCCCAGAGCAGGAAAACAUCGCAAGAUAGAGUCUGCUUCCUCACAGCACGAGGGGACCAGCCCUGCGAGCCUCCUGCCUGGUACCAAAUUCAUCUCAGAGGGGAGGGCCGAUCAACCAAAGGUGGUAACUGUGGAAUUUUCUUCAUCCAGCAAGACUGCCCCCGAAUGCAAAAAGAACAAAGUGUCAAUCGGCUCCUUGUCUCUUCAGACUUCAUUCAGUGGUCACAGAGGUAUUUCCUCUGCACAUAUUUUCGUUCAGCAGUGUGGUUUCUGGCCCAGUGACUGUGGCUAUAAUGGUUAGCUUAGCCUUAACCACAUUAGGGCCCGGGUUAGGGAGAAGAUUUCUUGUUGUUCUUAUUGUUUUUGUUGUCGUUGCUGGAGUUGAGGCAGGGCAGCUGCUGGGGUUAAACACGGUUUCCAUUGUUAUUGUUUUCUUUCUCCCUUUGUGUGUCCUGAACUCUGAAUGGCAGAAAUGAGAGCCCCACUUUUGUUAGUGGAGUGGCUUCUGUGAGCAAAUUCCAACCACUGGAAUGUUUCGUGAGCUGCAAAGACAACCGCAAGAGUCUUGGAAAUUUGUCUGUGGAGUGUAUGGCUGGGGCCCCCUUGCCAUGUCCCUCCUCCCUUCCAAGUGGAAAUAACAGCCAUAGGACAGGUGGGAGAGGAGUGGAUGGGAGCAAAUCAGGAAGAGAGGGCACCUAGCUGAGCUGUCCAGCCACAAGAAAUUUGUGCUUUGGGGUAAAAUAAUGUCCCCGUUAACCAAGGGUGCACAACAUAGAGCACACUGGCAGCAGGGUCCCAAGCAGCUGGCGAGGCUUGGAGCUGCUCCCUGAUAGUGAGAGGGGGCUGGCUACCCCAGGACAGGUUCAUGGAAGAGGGGAGCUGCCUGGGGCCACUUGGGGAGGAGUUGGAAGGUUCACCCGGGGAGGACGAGGCCACGUGAUCUGCAGAGAUAAUGGAGCCUUCAGCUUGACAUCUGAGCCUUGAGUCUCCAGGUGGAGCAGUAUUCUUGCUGGGAGGGGAGACAGUAAUUGUUUUUAGCAUGACAGAUAAGACAUUCCUGCUUCCCUGAUCCCCCGCAUCUGGGAAACUAGCUAAAUAUUUAAAUGAAGGCAUGCAAAGUUUCUAGCUUCUCUCCACUUCCUCCUUCAAGAUCACUCUUAAAUAAGAAGACCCUGCCUUCUUAAUUUUACACUAUGAUAGGUAAAAGCAUAAUUGUAGAGGAUUGUUUGGCUUUAAUCUGAUCAAAACCAUAAGUCGCCAAGAGACUGUGGGAAACAUUAAUUGUGUAGCUGGACUGGGUUUCAUGACUGCAGGGAGACUCAUAAAUAAAGCCUAGGACUUGAGCCCAAGAGUGUAACAGGAGAGAGAAAACAGAAGCUGGUGGAGAAAGAUGGCUGAUGUUGCCUCUUAAGUGAGAGUAUAUAAAUAGUUUGCUCCCUCUGAGGUUGUAUACAAUUUAGUCCCUCUUCACAAGUGUUCCCAUUUAAAGCUGUGGUUAACUGAAGGGCUGGAGAUGUUACUAUUUCUCAAAAAAAAAAAAAAGCUUUCUGUAAAGUUCCAAAUCCUAUGUGUGAUGUUGACAGAUAUUUGACCCACAUAAACAUUCAUUUAAGGAGACGAGACACUAUUUUCCCUGCCUCCUGACCAAACUCAUAUUCUUCAAAACAUCAAACAAAGUAAUAUGCAGAAUUAUGUUGCCCCUGAGAGGGAUUUUCUCUUGUUUCCCUCCCACUCUGCUCAGUCAGUCUGUCUGUCUUUCCCUCCCAGCUUCCCCCUUACCCUCCCCUGAAAACUCUGGAAAAACAGUAGUAAGUAACAUUUGUGCCUUUGGCAAUAAAACCACAGGCCUCACAAACCCCAAAUGGCAAAAAGACAUUUCCAUUCCAAUCCCAGUUUUAAAUUAAACUGUAAUGAAAAAUCAGCAGUGGCAGCUGGGACCAGAGACACUGAUUGUCUCUAGGAACAAAAAGGAGGGGAACAGAGGGGGAGAGGAAGAAGAAAAGAGACUGCAAGGAAGCAGCACUCUGGUAAUAAAGCAGCUGGUAAACCUUCAAGUAAAAAGAAAUUAGAAAAACAAAUCUAGGAUGGAGACAAGCAAAGAUGGCUGUUUCCCUCUACAGUCACGGAAUCCAGAAAAGACCCGUACUGAUCUAUAAGAACCAAAGAAGCUGCCAAGGGGUUAAGAUCAUGACAAAUUAAACAAGAUGAUGCAGGAGAAGCAGAGCCAAGAACAGUAAAGUGCAGAAUUCAGAGCCUUUCUCCCCUGCCUUCCUGAGAGGAUGCUUUAUGCUGCUGAUUGGCUGCUGGCUUGACUGAGCUAAUUGAAGUAUAACUGAGGCUCCGCUUCCAGUGGCAGGGUCUGGGGAAGGGGCGGCAGGCGCCAUGUCGGGCCACGAAGGUGGCAAGAAGAAGCCCCUGAAGCAGCCCAAGAAGCAAGCCAAGGAGACGGACAUUUCCACUCAAGGACAAGGACAAGGAGGAAGAUAAGGCAUUCAAGCAGAAGCAGAAGGAGGAGAAGAAGAAGCUCGAGGAGCUAAAAGCAAAGGCCGCAGGGAAAGGCCCCUUGGCCACCGGUGGAAUUAAGAAAUCUGGCAAAAAGUAAGCUGUUCCUUGUGCCUGAGGCAAUGAUAACCCUUAAUUCCAUUCCUGUUUAAACCCCUGGAUUCCCUGCCAUAAUAUCUGUUGCCACCUAUAGCUAGAAUGAAGUGUUGUCUUGGAACCUAUUGUAC